AGCGAACGCUGGCGGCAGGCCUAACACAUGCAAGUCGAACGAACCUUUCGGGGUUAGUGGCGGACGGGUGAGUAACACGUGGGAACGUGCCUUUAGGUUCGGAAUAACUCAGGGAAACUUGUGCUAAUACCGAAUGUGCCCUUCGGGGGAAAGAUUAAUCGCCUUUAGAGCGGCCCGCGUCUGAUUAGCUAGUUGGUUGAGGUAAUGGCUCACCAAGGCGACGAUCAGUAGCUGGUCUGAGAGGAUGAUCAGCCACAUUGGGACUGAGACACGGCCCAAACUCCUACGGGAGGCAGCAGUGGGGAAUCUUGCGCAAUGGGCGAGAGCCUGACGCAGCCAUGUCGCGUGAAUGAUGAAGGUCUUAGGAUUGUAAAAUUCUUUCACCGGGGACGAUAAUGACGGUACCCGGAGAAGAAGCCCCGGCUAACUUCGUG
rnacentral:rRNA from 1 species